CUGUCCCAUGGAACGCUUGGCUUUGACCACGGUGCUUAGCUUUUAUAAAUCAGAUUAUUUUCCUUCUGCCUUUAAAAAAAAAAAACACAAAAAACCCAGCUUUGGUCUCUGACUCACAGGCUCAAAACAGACUGCGCUGGUUACAGAGGUUGGGAAUUUCAGCAGUGGCACAGGCUGGAACUGUUCUCCAAUAGGAAAUCGAAGACCGGGAGACAAAGGAGGGGAGGUGGAGCGGGGAGGGCCGGCAGAGCAGGAAAUAGUGGCGGAGAUAAUGUUCAGCUGGGGAAGGAGCUGGCUCCCGGGUGCCCCCCAACAACCGAAAGGUUGCUCAGACCCAGGAUGCUGCUUCCUGGAGGAGCCAGAUACUCAGCCGCUGGUACAAACAGCGACCCCUGUUGGACGACGACGGUGUUGGCAGGAAGAGUCUUGGGGGCCGUCUUGGCCCCUUUGAGCUGCUUACGGAAUACCACAGACUGGGUGGCUGACAAAUAACAGAAGUUUAUUCCUGACAGUUUUGGAGGCUGGAGGUUCAAACUCAAGAUGCUAGCAGAUUCAGGGUCUGGUGAGUGCCCGUGUGCUGAUUCGUAGACUAACUUUAAACUCACAUGGUUGGGGGAUAGGGGGCAAGAAAUCUCUCCUGGACCUCAUUUAAAAACGGUAUUACUCCCUGAAGGCCCACCUCCUAAUAGCAUCACAGUGGGCAUUAG
ensembl:lncRNA